CACUUAACUCAGAGUUCCCGGGAGGACCCCUGAUCCCGGAGCCGUUCUCCGAGUGGGACCCUGUGUCAGGUCUCGUCCCCUUCCUGGUGGCUCGGGGCAGCCGGCUUUGCUGAUGGCUUGCAGAUGACUCAUCAGGAGGGCUUGCAGGAGAACUCAUUUCGCUGCGCUUUGUUCCUAGAGUAAAAUUAAUUGUCAUCAUUAUAUUUUUUGUGAGUGGUGUUCGAGCCUGUGCGUCGACGAUGACGUGACAGCCGGCUCCUGUGACCUCGGUCUGGAUCCCAUUGAAACGGGCAUCCCAGCGCCGGAGGAGUUAACCAAACAACACCCCCAAAGCCGCUCGUUCUGUGCCGUGCCCUUGACCUUGGAGAGGUCUUUCUCUCCUCGCUCGUCUCCACAUGAAGGAAAAUUUAUUUCUCCCUCUCCAGUGAUGGAGAAAAUGAGCCUCAUUCGCGAACAUUUCCAGAGGGAAACAGUUCCGUGUUAUCGUUGUGGUGCUGGUUAAUUUUUUUUUUCUGAUUGCCUGUCUGAUACUUAGACAUGACUGGUCUUUAAUAUCUAUGUAGCACAUGGUUGAGUGGGACUAAAGCAAGUAUACGUUGUGAGAGGCUGAGGACUAUGCAAUCAUAUAUAUAUAUAUAUAUAUAAUCUGGUUUUUGAAGUAUCAGAGAUGGAGUGUUUUAGCAUUUUUUGCUAUAAAAGUGCCUUGAUUCAAUCGCUUCAGACAUUCCUCCUAUUUUGUUGUAACCUUGAAUGUGUCUUCUGACCCCAAACUGUGUACUAUGAAGCAUUCGGACUGCGGCAGUCCAAGCAGAGGUUGUGUUCCAAUAGCAGAGACCAAAGAGUUCAUCAGAUCCGGUUUAGUUGCUACAGCCGUGUGAUUCCAGUGCCGCUGAAUCGCACCACAUUUCCGUGGUCCACACCAUCGAGGCCUGCCAUGCGUGUUCUCUUUCAGGUUGGAGUGAAUUUGCACUUUUUAAUCAGAGGGGUCAUUUGGGGACCUUGUUCUUUAUAUAUAUAUAUAUUUUUUUGCUUUAUUAAUAAAGAAACU
rnacentral:lncRNA from 1 species